UUUAUGAUUAUGUGUGCACAUAAGAAUGGUGGAUUAUCUUAUCACAGAAGCAAGGAAUGGUGGAAAAUCUUAUCUCUUGGAAGUAACACAGAAUUAUGUAUUUAAUAUUGGGGGGUGCAACUAAGUUUCUAUUUAAUGGUUGUGCCAGUAACCCUAAAACCGUCCAAGUUUCUCACAGUAACCCUAACUCUCUUUCUGUUAUCUCCGCCUCCUUUCUUUUUUUUUCUUUUUUCCUUCGUUCCUUCAAGUGAGUUUGGUAAAGAGAUUUUUGAAGAUGAAUGUUUGAAAGAUCAAGCAAACUGAGAAACCAGUUCAGUUAAAGCUGUAUUCUUAAUUGUAUUUUUUUAGUUGC